CAUUUGUGUAGUGUAAGCCUACCCGUUAGUUAUGGGUGAGCCUUUCACUUUGGCUUUUCUUUUAGCUGAUAGGGUGAAUCCAUCACAACAAUUGCUUUCGCUGGAAGACUUACUUGGUACUAUUUAUUGAUCCCCCUUGUAAGCCCCCCAAAAGAGGCUUCUAAUCUAAGCCAUCCUUAAGGCCGAGAUGUGAGAUGGCAGCUCACGGACACAGAGUCUUGUUGAUUCCGCG
rnacentral:misc_RNA from 1 species